rnacentral:rRNA from 1 species
UACGUAGGGUGCUAGCGUUGUCCGGAAUUAUUGGGCGUAAAGAGCUUGUAGGCGGUUUGUCGCGUCUGCUGUGAAAAUCCGGGGCUCAACCCCGGACUUGCAGUGGGUACGGGCAGACUAGAGUGUGGUAGGGGAGACUGGAAUUCCUGGUGUAGCGGUGGAAUGCGCAGAUAUCAGGAGGAACACCGAUGGCGAAGGCAGGUCUCUGGGCCACUACUGACGCUGAGGCGCGAAAGCGUGGGGAGCAAACAGG